GUACGCAUUUACUGCUGCGCCAUUUAGUUGGUUGAGUCCAGUGUCCAGUUUUGAUUGAGCAGUCACUCGAGAAGGAGUAUUUCGUUUGAUCUAGAUAUUUUGAAAAAGUGGUAAUUGGCAGCUACUGAAAGACCUAUAUCAUUGGAAAUUUCGUGUAUUCCCUAAUUCGGAAAUUUUUUCAUAAGCACUGGCUUUCAAUCAGUCAUCACUGUGCCUAGUUCAUCGCAGUACUUAUUCAACUUCCAACCACGAAGGGCAGGCGUUGUAUGGCAUUGCACAAUUCGUUUACAGGUACUCUGAGAUGCUGUCGCCGCAUUAUGACCCCCUGGACUUCCCCUGUUCAUCAGGGGGAGUCCAGGGACCCGUCCCCUGGGACUGCGCGGCCUCCCACCGCCCCCGGGGUCCCAGGGGACCCAGUCCCCGAGGACUUGUCUCCGGGG